rnacentral:rRNA from 1 species
ACGUACGCUGGCGGCACGCCUAACACAUGCAAGUCGAACGAAGUAGCAAUACUUAGUGGCAAACGGGUGAGUAUGAUGUGGGUAUCUGCCCUUUGGUAUGGAAUAACACGAGGAAACUUGUGCUAAUACUGUAUAAGCCUUCACAGGGAAAGCUUUAUGCGCCGAAGGAUGAGCCUGCACUUGAUUAGCUAGUUGGUAAGGUAAUAGCUUACCAAGGCAACGAUCAAUAGCUGAUCUGAGAGGAUGAUCAGCCACAUUGGGACUGAGACACGGCCCAAACUCCUACGGGAGGCAGCAGUGGGGAAUCUUGCACAAUGGGGGAAACCCUGAUGCAGCGAUGCCGCGUGAGUGAAGAAGGCCUUUGGGUUGUAAAGCUCUUUCGUCGGGGAAGAAAAUGACUGUACCCGAAUAAGAAGGUCCGGCUAACUUCGUGCCAGCAGCCGCGGUAAUACGAAGGGACCUAGCGUAGUUCGGAAUUACUGGGCUUAAAGAGCUCGUAGGUGGUUAGAAAAGUUAGUGGUGAAAUCCCAAGGCUUAACCUUGGAACUGCCACUAAAACUUUUUAACUAGAGUAUGGUAGAGGUAAGCGGAAUUUCUAGUGUAGAGGUGAAAUUCGUAGAUAUUAGAAAGAACACCAAUUGCGAAGGCAGCUUUCUGGAUCAUUACUGACACUGAGGAGCGAAAGCAUGGGUAGCGAAGAGGAUUAGAUACCCUCGUAGUCCAUGCUGUAAACGAUGUGUGCUAGACGUUGGAAAUUUAUUUUUCAGUGUCGCAGCAAAAGCGUUAAGCACACCGCCUGGGGAGUACGACCGCAAGUAAGCUAUGAUAG